AGCAGCCGCGGUAAUUCCAGCUCCAAUAGCGUAUAUUAAAGUUGUUGCAGUUAAAAAGCUCGUAGUUGAAUUUCGGGGUUAGCAAGUUGGUCGUGCCUUUGGUAUGCACUGGCUUUGCUGAUUCCUCCUUCUUGAAGAACUGUGAUGCUAUUAAUUCGGUGUUGCAGGGAAACAGGACUGUUACUUUGAAAAAUUAGAGUGUUUAAAGCAGGCUAACGCUUGAAUACAUUAGCAUGGAAUAAUGAAAUAGGACGUUUGAUCCUAUUUUGUUGGUUUCUAGGAUUGACGUAAUGAUUAAUAGGGAUAGUUGGGGGCAUUAGUAUUCAAUUGUCAGAGGUGAAAUUCUUGGAUUUAUUGAAGACUGACUACUGCGAAAGCAUUUGCCAAGGAUGUUUUCAUUAAUCAAGAACGAAAGUUAGGGGAUCGAAGACGAUCAGAUACCGUCGUAGU
rnacentral:rRNA from 1 species